GUGUGUGUGUGUGUGUGUGUGUAAGAGAGUAUUGUAGUUCGCUUGAAGCAUUGUGUACUGUUUGUAAAAUGUAACGUGUCUUGAAUGACACAACAAAGCA